AUAACUAAGCGGAGGAAAAGAAACCAACCGGGAUUCCCCCAGUAACGGCGAGUGAAGCGGGACGAAGCCCAGCGCCGAAUCCGCCGCGGCUAUUAGCCCGGCCGGAACUGUGGCGUGAGGGACGCGGCCAGUCGGCGGGAAGGAUACCCGAGUCCCCCCGAGCGGGGCCCCUCCCAUAGCGGGUGCCAGGCCUCUGCAGGUAUCCAUCCGGUCGGCCGCUGCCGUCCCCGGAGUCGGGUUGUUUGGGAAUGCAGCCCGAAGCGGGAGGUAAACUCCUCCUAAGGCUAAAUACCGGCGCGAGUCCGAUAGCGGACAAGUACCGCGAGGGAAAGUUGAAAAGAACUUUGAAGAGAGGGUUCAAGAGCACGUGAAACCGCUCAGGGGUAAACGGGCGGAACCGAAGCGAACGGCUCGGGAGGGUCAGUCUUCGGCGAGUUUCGACGAGUUGCCGAGAUACGUACGUGCGCACCGGCAACGGCAGCGGCGUGCGGUCUCCGGUGACGACUCGUGGCUCGCUGCGGGCGCACCCCUCCCGGGCCUGUGCCGCGACCGACUUCGAGCCGGCCCGUGGGGCGCGUCGGACCCGAGGGACUUCGGUCCCGAGGCGAGGCGUUGUUCCGUUAGCGAGCCCGGUUUGGGGUCGAGGGACGACCGCAGGACUAGGGGUGGUCGUGUAUCCCGUUUCGGCGGGGUGCGCGGCUCCCGCCUGCUCAGGGUCGGCGGCGAACGCGGACGGCUGUCCUCCCGACCCGUCUUGAAACACGGACCAAGGAGUCUGACGCGCGUGCGAGUCGCGGGGUUCCACGAAACCCGCGGGCGCAGUGAAAGCGAGGGUGGCUCGGUCACCUAGGCGGGAUCUCGCGGGGCUCCUCCUAGCGGGGAGUCCUCGAGCGCACCGCCGGCCCGUCCCUUGCCGUGUCGUCGGUGGGGCGGAGCGAGAGCACGCGUGUCGGGACCCGAAAGAUGGUGAACUACGCCUGGGCAGGGCGAAGCCGGGGGAAACCCCGGUGGAGGCCCGCAGCGACUC
rnacentral:rRNA from 1 species